UUGGCAGUGCUGUUUUCUCGUUCUUUGUGAAACCGGGUCGGUGGUGAGAUCGGGAUGGGGAGUGGGUUCUCGCCCCCUUGGACGGGGAGCCGGAGACGGAUUAUUCUCUGCGGGGCAACACCAACAAUUUUCCUUCGUUAGACCUGCGGUGAGAAGUUUAUUUGAAGAAAAACCCCAACUGGAAGCAAACCACAGCUGAAGACGAGAGAACAGCAACAAGUGAAUUGGCCCGAGGACUGAGAACAGCAACUGGAGAGAACAACUCUGCAUCAAGAGACUCGGAUUUCCCAGUGAUUCAGUCAGGAGAAAGUUUGGUUAAAAACGAGAAGGAAUUUGUCGUGGGGAUCUCAAACAGAAAACGCCAGUUUUGCUGUCUCUGUCUGGAUAUUUAAGAAGUGGAGCGAGGGAUUCAAUCGACCAUCCUUCAUGCUCAGACUGUGGAGAGGGAUUCAAUUGAUCAUUUGACCAAAUAGCAAGCCAGUCAUCUUACACAGGAGAAAGGCUGUUCACCUGCUCAGACAGUGGGAGUAGAUUCACUCAGUUAUCACAAUUAAAGGUACAUCAGCAAGUUCACACUGGG